CGGACCUCAGAUCAGGCAAGACCACCCGCUGAGUUUAAGCAUAUCACUAAGCGGAGGAAAAGAAACUAACAAGGAUUCCC
rnacentral:rRNA from 2 species